rnacentral:rRNA from 1 species
CCUCAAAUCAGGUAGGACUACCCGCUGAACUUAAGCAUAUCAAUAAGCGGAGGAAAAGAAACUAACAAGGAUUCCCCUAGUAACGGCGAGUGAAGCGGGAAAAGCUCAAAUUUGAAAUCUGGCAUCCUUCGGGUGUCCGAGUUGUAAUCUAGAGAAGUGUUUUCUGUGCCGGACUGUAUUCAAGUUCCUUGGAAUAGGAUAUCAAAGAGGGUGAGAAUCCCGUGCUUAAUACAAUCCCCAGUGCUCUGUGAUACACUUUCAAAGAGUCGAGUUGUUUGGGAAUGCAGCUCUAAAUGGGUGGUAAAUUCCAUCUAAAGCUAAAUAUUGGCGAGAGACCGAUAGCGAACAAGUACCGUGAGGGAAAGAUGAAAAGCACUUUGGAAAGAGAGUUAAACAGUACGUGAAAUUGUUGAAAGGGAAACGAUUGAAGUCAGUCGUAUUGGAAAAGUUCAAUUAGCUUCUGCUAAUGCAUUCUUUUCUAAUGGGUCAACAUCAGUUUGAACAGGUGGAUAAGGGUGGUAGGAAAGUAGCUCUGAGUGUUAUAGCCUACUACCGUAUACACUUGUUUAGACUGAGGAACGCAGCUUGCCUCCUUAUGGGGGAUGGGGUUCGUCCCACAUUCAAGCUUAGGAUGUUGACAUAAU